rnacentral:rRNA from 1 species
AUUGAACGCUGGCGGCAUGCUUUACACAUGCAAGUCGAACGGUAACAGGCCUUCGGGUGCUGACGAGUGGCGAACGGGUGAGUAAUGCAUCGGAACGUGCCCAGAGGUGGGGAUAACGCAGCGAAAGCUGUGCUAAUACCGCAUGUGAUCUGAGGAUGAAAGCGGGGGACCAGGCAGCAAUGUUUGGCCUCGCGCCUUUGGAGCGGCCGAUGUCAGAUUAGGUAGUUGGUGGGGUAAAGGCCUACCAAGCCGACGAUCUGUAGCUGGUCUGAGAGGACGACCAGCCACACUGGGACUGAGACACGGCCCAGACUCCUACGGGAGGCAGCAGUGGGGAAUUUUGGACAAUGGGCGCAAGCCUGAUCCAGCAAUGCCGCGUGCGGGAAGAAGGCCUUCGGGUUGUAAACCGCUUUUGUCCGGAACGAAAAGGCUCUGGCUAAUACCUGGGGCUGAUGACGGUACCGUAAGAAUAAGCACCGGCUAACUACGUG